rnacentral:tRNA from 1 species
UCCAGGAUAGCCUAGUGAACAUGGCACCUGCCCGGUAAGCAGAAGGUUGUGGGUUCGAUUCCCGCUCCUGGAC